rnacentral:rRNA from 1 species
UGCANGUCGAACGCUUCUUUUUCCACCGGAGCUUGCUCCACCGGAAAAAGAGGAGUGGCGAACGGGUGAGUAACACGUGGGUAACCUGCCCAUCAGAAGGGGAUAACACUUGGAAACAGGUGCUAAUACCGUAUAACAAUCAAAACCGCAUGGUUUUGAUUUGAAAGGCGCUUUCGGGUGUCGCUGAUGGAUGGACCCGCGGUGCAUUAGCUAGUUGGUGAGGUAACGGCUCACCAAGGCCACGAUGCAUAGCCGACCUGAGAGGGUGAUCGGCCACAUUGGGACUGAGACACGGCCCAAACUCCUACGGGAGGCAGCAGUAGGGAAUCUUCGGCAAUGGACGAAAGUCUGACCGAGCAACGCCGCGUGAGUGAAGAAGGUUUUCGGAUCGUAAAACUCUGUUGUUAGAGAAGAACAAGGAUGAGAGUAACUGUUCAUCCCUUGACGGUAUCUAACCAGAAAGCCACGGCUAACUACGUGCCAGCACCGGCGGGUAAUA